AUUGAACGCUGGCGGUAGGCCUAACACAUGCAAGUCGAACGAGUGGCGGACGGGUGAGUAAUGUCUGGGAAACUGCCUGAUGGAGGGGGAUAACAACUGGAAACGGUAGCUAAUACCGCAUACGAGCAUAUGUGACCAGAUGGGAUUGGCUUGUUGGUGGGGUAACGGCUCACCAAGGCGACGAUCCCUAGCUGGUCUGAGAGGAUGAACAGCCACACUGGAACUGAGACACGGUCCAGACUCCUACGGGAGGCAGCAGUGGGGAAUAUUGCACAAUGGGCGAAAGCCUGAUGCAGCAAUGCCGCGUGUAUGAAGAAGGUUUUCGGGUUGUAAAGUACUUUUAGCGGGGAGGCGUUACCCGCAGAAGAAGCCCCGGCUAACUCCGUGCCAGCAGCCGCGGUAAUAC
rnacentral:rRNA from 1 species